GACCUCAAAUCAGGUAGGACUACCCGCUGAACUUAGCAUAUCAAUAAGCGGAGGA
rnacentral:rRNA from 1 species